AUUUGGGAUAACUCAGUUAAAGAAAUAAAGGAAAUUUGCUAUCUAGGAAGCCUAAUUAUAGAAGAUAACAGAUCAACAAAAAAAAAAGUGAAGAAAAGUUUUAGCAAAAAAAAUCAUUCAAAAAGAAGAGAUCUAUACUGAUGAACAAGAACUUAAGCAUUAAAACUAUGUCGAGCUUUAUUAAAUCGUAUGUCUAGAGCAUUCUACUUUAUAAGUGUGAAAUGUGGACCAUAAAGCAGUAUGAAAAAGAAACGUUGGAAGCGACGGAGAUGUGGAUUUGGAGAAGAAAAACGAGAACGAGCUGGAUAGAGGGAAAAAUAACGAUACCAUCUUGCAGGAAAUAUUUGAAGAAAGAAACAAAAUUCCUACUAUUAUGAAAAGGAAAAUGAAGCUUAUCGGACAUCUGGUAGUAAUAAUGAUUUUGUCACAAAAACAUUAGAGGGGAUGAUAAUGAGAAUACGUCCAAGAGGAAGACUCAGAUAGUCAUACUUUAACAUCAAAAUCCGAAUGGGUUUCACUUCAUAUGAACACCUGAAGUUACGGUGCGUGAUCGAGAAGUUUAAUUUCAACGACAAGGCCUUUCCUAUAGAAACUGAUGAUUUAGUAAAACCGUGUG